GGACUACAAGGGUAUCUAAUCCUGUUUGCUCCCCACGCUUUCGCACCUCAGCGUCAGUAAUGGACCAGUAAGCCGCCUUCGCCACUGGUGUUCCUGCGAAUAUCUACGAAUUUCACCUCUACACUCGCAAUUCCACUUACCUCUUCCAUACUCGAGACACCCAGUAUCAAAGGCAGUUCCGGAGUUGAGCUCCGGGAUUUCACCCCUGACUUAAAUGUCCGCCUACGUGCGCUUUACGCCCAGUAAUUCCGAACAACGCUAGCCCCCUUCGUAUUACCGCGGCUGCUGGCACGAAGUUAGCCGGGGCUUCUUUACCGGCUACAGUCAUUAUCUUCACCGGCGAAAGAGCUUUACAACCCUAGGGCCUUCAUCACUCACGCGGCAUGGCUGGAUCAGGCUU
rnacentral:misc_RNA from 1 species